CCAUGCUAGACGGGAAAUUAGCGGUGUCCUGUAACCUGCAAUCCGCUACAGCAGGGUUGAAUCCCCGAUUUCGGUCUUCACUUCUUCGGUCUGCCCGAGGCAAGUGGCGUUGAGGACCGGGCUUCACGCAACAGGCCCCUGCGAACCGUGUCAGGUCUUGACGGAAGCAGCACUAAGUAGGUUCGUCUGUGUGCCGUGAAAGUACCCGAUCUGAGUUAACUGCCCCGGUAACGCGAGGGAGGGCUGAACAACAUCGGGUGCAUGG
rnacentral:SRP_RNA from 1 species